GAUGAAGAACGCAGCGAAAUGCGAUACGUAAUGUGAAUUGCAGAAUUCAGUGAAUCAUCGAGUCUUUGAACGCACAUUGCGCCCUCUGGUAUUCCGGAGGGCAUGCCUGUCCGAGCGUCAUUGCUGCCCUCAAGCACGGCUUGUGUGUUUGGCCCCGCCCCCCGAUCCCGGGGGGCGGGCCCGAAAGGCAGCGGCGGCACCGCGUCCGGUCCUCGAGCGUAUGGGGCUUUGUCACCCGCUCUGUAGGCCCGGCCGGCGCCUGCCGAUCAACCAAACUUUUUUCCAGGUUGACCUCGGAUCAGGUAGGGAUACCCGCUGAACUUAAGCAUAUCAAUAAGCGGAGGA
rnacentral:misc_RNA from 1 species